UUCUGGUUGAUCCCGCCGGAGGUUACUGCUAUCGGUGUUCGCCUAAGCCAUGCGAGUCAUAUGUAGCAAUACAUGGCGUACUGCUCAGUAACACGUGGAUAACCUGCCCUUGGGACCGGCAUAACCCCGGGAAACUGGGGAUAAUUCCGGAUAACGCAUAUGUGCUGGAAUGCUUUAUGCGUAAAAUGGAUUCGUCUGCCCAAGGAUGGGUCUGCGGCCUAUCAGGUAGUAGUGGGUGUAAUGUACCUACUAGCCAGCGACGGGUACGGGUUGUGAGAGCAAGAGCCCGGAGAUGGAUUCUGAGACAUGAAUCCAGGCCCUACGGGGCGCAGCAGGCGCGAAAACUUUACAAUGCGGGAAACCGUGAUAAGGGGACACCGAGUGCCAGCAUCAUAUGCUGGCUGUCCAGGUGUGUAAAAUACACCUGUUAGCAAGGGCCGGGCAAGACCGGUGCCAGCCGCCGCGGUAACACCGGCGGCCCGAGUGGUGAUCGUGAUUAUUGGGUCUAAAGGGUCCGUAGCCGGUUUGGUCAGUCCUCCGGGAAAUCUGAUAGCUUAACUAUUAGGCUUUCGGGGGAUACUGCCAGACUUGGAACCGGGAGAGGUAAGAGGUACUACAGGGGUAGGAGUGAAAUCUUGUAAUCCCUGUGGGGCCACCUGUGGCGAAGGCGUCUUACCAGAACGGGUUCGACGGUGAGGGACGAAAGCUGGGGGCACGAACCGGAUUAGAUACCCGGGUAGUCCCAGCCGUAAACGAUGCUCGCUAGGUGUCAGGCAUGGCGCGACCGUGUCUGGUGCCGCAGGGAAGCCGUGAAGCGAGCCACCUGGGAAGUACGGCCGCAAGGCUGAAACUUAAAGGAAUUGGCGGGGGAGCACAACAACGGGUGGAGCCUGCGGUUUAAUUGGAUUCAACGCCGGA
rnacentral:rRNA from 1 species